UACGAGGGGUCCUAGCGUUGCUCGGAAUCAUUGGGCGUAAAGCGGGUGUAGGCGGACAACCAAGUCAGAUGUGAAAGCCCCGGGCUCAACCCGGGAAGUGCAUUUGAAACUGGUUAUCUUGAGUGCAGUAGAGGAAGGUGGAAUUCCAAGUGUAGUGGUGAAAUACGUAGAUAUUUGGAGGAACAUCGGUGGCGAAGGCGACCUUCUGGACUGUUACUGACGCUGAGACCCGAAAGCGUGGGGAUCAAACAGG
rnacentral:rRNA from 1 species